rnacentral:rRNA from 1 species
GACGAACGCUGGCGGCGUGCUUAACACAUGCAAGUCGAACGGAGCGAAUGAAAGCUUGCUUUUAUGAGCUUAGUGGCAAACGGGUGAGUAACACGUAGACAACCUGCCGACAGGAUGGGGACAACAUUCCGAAAGGAAUGCUAAUACCGAAUGAAGCGGAGGAGAGGCAUCUCUCUUCCGUGAAAGAUGGCCUCUUUUUAUGCUAUCACCUGUUGAUGGGUCUGCGUCUGAUUAGCUGGUUGGUGAGGUAACGGCUCACCAAGGCGACGAUCAGUAGCCGGUCUGAGAGGAUGAACGGCCACAUUGGGACUGAGACACGGCCCAGACUCCUACGGGAGGCAGCAGUGGGGAAUCUUCCGCAAUGGGCGCAAGCCUGACGGAGCAACGCCGCGUGAGUGAAGAAGGUCUUCGGAUCGUAAAGCUCUGUUGACGGGGACGAACGUGCGGAGUGCGAAUAGCGCUUUGUAAG